CCUACGGGAGGCAGCAGUGGGGAAUAUUGCACAAUGGGGGAAACCCUGAUGCAGCGACGCCGCGUGAGUGAAGAAGUAUUUCGGUAUGUAAAGCUCUAUCAGCAGGAACGAGACAAGACGGUACCUGACUAAGAAGCCCCGGCUAACUACGUGCCAGCAGCCGCGGUAAUACGUAGGGGGCAAGCGUUAUCCGGAAUCACUGGGUGUAAAGGGAGCGUAGACGGCUGAGCAAGCCUGAAGUGAAAGGCGGGGGCUCAACUCGCGAACUGCAUUUGAAACUGCUUCCCUUGAGUAUCGGAGAGGUAAUCGGAAUUCCUAGUGUAGCGGUGAAAUGCGUAGAUAUUAGGAAGAACACCAGUGGCGAAGGCGGAUUACUGGACGACAACUGACGGUGAGGCGCGAAAGCGUGGGGAGCAAACAGGAUUAGAUACCCGUGUAGUC
rnacentral:rRNA from 1 species